GGAGGGUAUAGCUCAGUGGUAGAGUGUAUGCUUAGCAUGCAGAAGGUCCUGGGUUCAAUCCCCAGUACCUCCA
rnacentral:tRNA from 1 species